GAAAAGGGGGUUGACCUUUAUCAUUCGAAUUUUGGGAAACCUGGUUCGAAUAAUAAAACGAUGGUCGGUGUACCUUGGCAAUCAAUUUUGUUGGUUUGCAAUCCAGGUGCAUUUAGAAUCGCCAUCAAGAGAUUCUAAACUCAUAAUUUUUGCAACAAGUGGAGUACCAGCUGCUUCGAAUAUAGAAGAUUAAGCGCUCCACA